rnacentral:rRNA from 1 species
UACGUAGGCAGCGAGCGUUGUUCGGAAUUACUGGGCGUAAAGAGCGUGUAGGCGGUGCUCUAAGUUCGGUGUGAAAUCUCCCGGCUUAACUGGGAGGGUGCGCCGGAAACUGGAGUGCUCGAGCGUGGGAGAGGAAAGCGGAAUUCCUGGUGUAGCGGUGAAAUGCGUAGAUAUCAGGAGGAACACCUGCGGUGUAGACGGCUUUCUGGACCAUUGCUGACGCUGAGACACGAAAGCGUGGGUAGCAAACAGG